UUAAGCGACUAAGCGUACACGGUGGAUGCCCUGGCAGUCAGAGGCGAUGAAGGGCGUGCUAAUCUGCGAUAAGCGCCGGUAAGGUGAUAUGAACCGUUAUAACCGGCGAUACCCGAAUGGGGAAACCCAGUGUGACUCGUCACACUAUCAUUAACUGAAUCCAUAGGUUAAUGAGGCGAACCGGGGGAACUGAAACAUCUAAGUACCCCGAGGAAAAGAAAUCAACCGAGAUUCCCCCAGUAGCGGCGAGCGAACGGGGAGGAGCCCAGAGCCUGAAUCAGCAUGUGUGUUAGUGGAAGCGUCUGGAAAGGCGCGCGAUACAGGGUGACAGCCCCGUACACAAAAGCGCAUGUGCUGUGAGCUCGAUGAGUAGGGCGGGACACGUGGUAUCCUGUCUGAAUAUGGGGGGACCAUCCUCCAAGGCUAAAUACUCCUGACUGACCGAUAGUGAACCAGUACCGUGAGGGAAAGGCGAAAAGAACCCCGGCGAGGGGAGUGAAAAAGAACCUGAAACCGUGUACGUACAAGCAGUGGGAGCACAGGUUUACCUGUGUGACUGCGUACCUUUUGUAUAAUGGGUCAGCGACUUAUAUUCUGUAGCAAGGUUAACCGAAUAGGGGAGCCGGAGGGAAACCGAGUCUUAAUUGGGCGUUAAGUUGCAGGGUAUAGACCCGAAACCCGGUGAUCUAGCCAUGGGCAGGUUGAAGGUUGGGUAACACUAACUGGAGGACCGAACCGACUAAUGUUGAAAAAUUAGCGGAUGACCUGUGGCUGGGGGUGAAAGGCCAAUCAAACCGGGAGAUAGCUGGUUCUCCCCGAAAGCUAUUUAGGUAGCGCCUCGUGAAUUCAUCUCCGGGGGUAGAGCACUGUUUCGGCUAGGGGGCCAUCCCGGCUUACCAACCCGAUGCAAACUGCGAAUACCGGAGAAUGUUAUCACGGGAGACACACGGCGGGUGCUAACGUCCGUCGUGAAGAGGGAAACAACCCAGACCGCCAGCUAAGGUCCCAAAGUCAUGGUUAAGUGGGAAACGAUGUGGGAAGGCCCAGACAGCCAGGAUGUUGGCUUAGAAGCAGCCAUCAUUUAAAGAAAGCGUAAUAGCUCACUGGUCGAGUCGGCCUGCGCGGAAGAUGUAACGGGGCUAAACCAUGCACCGAAGCUGCGGCAGCGAACGUAUCACUUAAAGCGAUUCAGCGGGUUACGAUUGACGGAGCGAAGCGACGUCAAAGCGUAUACAAAGUCGAGUCGGUUUAAGGAUACGUUCGUUGGGUAGGGGAGCGUUCUGUAAGCCUGUGAAGGUGGCCUGUGAGGGUUGCUGGAGGUAUCAGAAGUGCGAAUGCUGACAUAAGUAACGAUAAAGCGGGUGAAAAGCCCGCUCGCCGGAAGACCAAGGGUUCCUGUCCAACGUUAAUCGGGGCAGGGUGAGUCGACCCCUAAGGCGAGGCCGAAAGGCGUAGUCGAUGGGAAACGGGUUAAUAUUCCCGUACUUGGUGUUACUGCGAAGGGGGGACGGAGAAGGCUAUGUUGGCCGGGCGACGGUUGUCCCGGUUUAAGCGUGUAGGUGUGUGUUCCAGGUAAAUCCGGUUCACUUUAACACUGAGGCGUGACGACGAGGCACUACGGUGCUGAAGCAACAAAUGCCCUGCUUCCAGGAAAAGCCUCUAAGCAUCAGGUAACAUCAAAUCGUACCCCAAACCGACACAGGUGGUCAGGUAGAGAAUACCAAGGCGCUUGAGAGAACUCGGGUGAAGGAACUAGGCAAAAUGGUGCCGUAACUUCGGGAGAAGGCACGCUGACACGUAGGUGAAGUGAUUUACUCAUGGAGCUGAAGUCAGUCGAAGAUACCAGCUGGCUGCAACUGUUUAUUAAAAACACAGCACUGUGCAAACACGAAAGUGGACGUAUACGGUGUGACGCCUGCCCGGUGCCGGAAGGUUAAUUGAUGGGGUCAGCGCAAGCGAAGCUCCUGAUCGAAGCCCCGGUAAACGGCGGCCGUAACUAUAACGGUCCUAAGGUAGCGAAAUUCCUUGUCGGGUAAGUUCCGACCUGCACGAAUGGCGUAAUGAUGGCCAGGCUGUCUCCACCCGAGACUCAGUGAAAUUGAACUCGCUGUGAAGAUGCAGUGUACCCGCGGCAAGACGGAAAGACCCCGUGAACCUUUACUAUAGCUUGACACUGAACAUUGAGCCUUGAUGUGUAGGAUAGGUGGGAGGCUUUGAAGUGUGGACGCCAGUCUGCAUGGAGCCGACCUUGAAAUACCACCCUUUAAUGUUUGAUGUUCUAACGUGGACCCGUAAUCCGGGUUGCGGACAGUGUCUGGUGGGUAGUUUGACUGGGGCGGUCUCCUCCUAAAGAGUAACGGAGGAGCACGAAGGUUGGCUAAUCCUGGUCGGACAUCAGGAGGUUAGUGCAAUGGCAUAAGCCAGCUUGACUGCGAGCGUGACGGCGCGAGCAGGUGCGAAAGCAGGUCAUAGUGAUCCGGUGGUUCUGAAUGGAAGGGCCAUCGCUCAACGGAUAAAAGGUACUCCGGGGAUAACAGGCUGAUACCGCCCAAGAGUUCAUAUCGACGGCGGUGUUUGGCACCUCGAUGUCGGCUCAUCACAUCCUGGGGCUGAAGUAGGUCCCAAGGGUAUGGCUGUUCGCCAUUUAAAGUGGUACGCGAGCUGGGUUUAGAACGUCGUGAGACAGUUCGGUCCCUAUCUGCCGUGGGCGCUGGAGAACUGAGGGGGGCUGCUCCUAGUACGAGAGGACCGGAGUGGACGCAUCACUGGUGUUCGGGUUGUCAUGCCAAUGGCACUGCCCGGUAGCUAAAUGCGGAAGAGAUAAGUGCUGAAAGCAUCUAAGCACGAAACUUGCCCCGAGAUGAGUUCUCCCUGAGACUUUAAGUCUCCUGAAGGAACGUUGAAGACGACGACGUUGAUAGGCCGGGUGUGUAAGCGCAGCGAUGCGUUGAGCUAACCGGUACUAAUGAACCGUGAGGCUUAACC
rnacentral:rRNA from 1 species